UACGUAGGGUGCGAGCGUUAAUCGGAAUUACUGGGCGUAAAGCGUGCGCAGGCGGUUUUGUAAGCCCGAUGUGAAAUCCCCGGGCUUAACCUGGGAAUGGCAUUUGGGACUGCAAGGCUGGAGUGCGGCAGAGGAGACUGGAAUUCCUGGUGUAGCAGUGAAAUGCGUAGAUAUCAGGAGGAAUACCGAUGGCGAAGGCAGGUCUCUGGGCUGACACUGACGCUCAUGCACGAAAGCGUGGGGAGCAAACAGG
rnacentral:rRNA from 1 species